rnacentral:lncRNA from 1 species
UAUUUCAUGGUAGUCAAUUCGGCCGUCAAUGUGCCUGCAAGAGAUUUAUCGGUGCAUUUAAAACACUCAUCCACAUAUUUAAGAAAUUCUAAGGCUAUCUUAAUUUGAGGGAAAGAAGUUUUGAUGUUCGUGGCAAUGGUCAUUCUCAUAAACACGAGAUUGAGUUUAUUUGACCUUGUCCAGGCUUUCGAUUAUUCCAUCUGCUCGAGGGUGCUAUCAUUGGUUGCUUUAGGAAGUUUUUAAGUAUUAAAGCCAGGUUAAGAUCUAAUAAACCCAGUUAGAAUUGGACCCUUUCGU